UAUAAUUGAAUUUGCAGACUGUCACGGGAGUAUUCUAGAUGUCCACAAGGGGGUGCCAUAGACUACCGUUAGAGCAGAUCCAGACUGUUUUGGUUUUCGGUGGUUUGGUUUUAUUUUGUUUUCCUCUAUUUCUUAGUGUUUAUAGACGGUAGCCUGAGGUGUCUUCAAACCUGUGAUUCUCCUGCCUCAGCUUCCUAAGUACUGGGAUGAGAAAAGCAUGACAUUAUGCCCGGCACAGUGCCACUUUCUCACAUAGGCCAGUGUCCAGUGUGACCAUGAUGGUGACAUUAGCAUAGGUACUUCAGCAGAGAAAAUGUGAGAUGAAGGCCCAGCCUCACGCUGCCGCUGGUAGGUUCAAGGCUCGGUCGCUUCCUUCACACCAGGGCCUUUGCUUCAGACUCUGGGUCUCACACCUUACCUGCUGCAGAGAGACUAAGCCCCGGUCUUAGCUGGGAUAAGUUGGCUGCAUUUGGCAGAUGUUUCCCUGCCCAAACCAUGACCAACAACCAGGUUAAUCCUGUCUUCUAAUCCAGAGUCGAAGCCCUUGGGUUUACAUCUGGGUGGGGAUCCAUUAUGAACGGAGGCACGGUCAGGAGAAACAGGAAUGUUCUGACUCGAGGCUGCCAGGAUCAUGAGCCAUCCUUAGUCGUAUUCAGACCGAGAACCACAAGGUGACUGAGGACUACUUUGCUGUAACGGCACAUUCUGGAGCUGUUUUAGCGCUGAGAAAAUAAUACCCUGUGGGAGUUUACUGGCCGGUGUUUUUGUGGUGUUUUCCCAACUCUUCAAAAACAGAUGGUCUGUAUUUCCAUGUGAGAAGACAAAUGGAUACGAAUGACCAGAAGUCCUUACACAGAAGGUAAGACCAGCGCAGAAUCAUGGAACCCGACCUUCUAGAAAAUGAUGCGACCGUGGGAAGGUCCCAACUGUUCUGUACGCAUGCUCCCUCAUUCUAAGAACUGAGGGAAAGGAGUCCACAGGAGACCGGGCCUGGAAUUCUGAGGUCCGACUUGAGAAGCUAGGCUGCCAGCCCCAGAGCAAGGGGGAAAAACAAAACAAAACAAAACUUGGGAACCGCAGUUUGACAUGAUGGCCACUAGAGGGCACUGUGAAGCCGAGCGCAGGUGUUCACUGGGGCGGCCCUUCGACCCUUUCUCCUCA
ensembl:lncRNA